UGAGAGAUAAAUAAUUGAAGGGAUUUUAUUAAAAUAGGAGAAUUGGAUCAUGUGGAAAAAGAGUUAAGUGACUGAAUCAGAGGGUCUUGAUUUGCGGGGUGCAUGUGGUUUAAGUCCAGGAAUAAUCCCUAAUGAACUUGACUCAACCUGCAUACAUUAGACUCAAUCAGUAAAUAAGUAAAACUUGAAUUACCUUUAAUAAUUUAUUAAAAUGCAAUGAUGAAGGUAACAUUUUUUUUAGUUAAAUUUACAAAAUAUGCGGAUUAAAAUAAUGAUAAGUGUUAUGAAUAAGAUAUUAGUUUAUGC
rnacentral:lncRNA from 1 species